UACGUAGGCAGCAAGCGUUGUUCGGAGUUACUGGGCGUAAAGGGUGUGUAGGCGGUUGGGUAAGUGUGGUGUGAAAUCUCCCGGCUUAACUGGGAGGGUGCGCUACAAACUGUCUGACUAGAGUAUGGGAUGGGAGAGUGGAAUUCCUGGUGUAGCGGUGAAAUGCGUAGAUAUCAGGAGGAACACCGGUGGUGUAGACGGCUCUCUGGACCAUUACUGACGCUGAGACACGAAAGCGUGGGUAGCAAACAGG
rnacentral:rRNA from 1 species